rnacentral:rRNA from 1 species
GACGGAGGAUGCAAGCGUUAUCCGGAAUGAUUGGGCGUAAAGCGUCCGCAGGCGGCAGUUCAAGUCUGCUGUGAAAGACCGGGGCUUAACUUCGGAAAGGCAGUGGAAACUGAACAGCUAGAGUAUGGUAGGGGCAGAGGGAAUUCCUGGUGUAGCGGUGAAAUGCGUAGAGAUCAGGAAGAACACCGGUGGCGAAGGCGGGUCUCUGGGCCGAUAUUGACGCUGAGGAGCGAAAGCGUGGGGAGCGAACAGG